rnacentral:snRNA from 1 species
GUGCUCGCUUUGGCGGCACAUUUACUAAAAUUGGAAUGAUGCAAAGAUUAGCAUGGCCCCUGUGCAAGGAUGAUGUGCAAACUCAUGAAGCGUUCCAUAUUUUU